AGAAUCAACGCUGGCGGCGUGCCUAACACAUGCAAGUCGAACGAGAAAGUGGAGCAAUCCAUGAGUAAAGUGGCGCACGGGUGAGUAACACGUGACUAACCUACCCUUGAGUGGGGGAUAACCUAGAGAAAUCUGGGCUAAUACCGCAUAAUACCUUCGGGUCAAAGGAGCGAUUCGCUUAAGGAGGGGGUCGCGGCCGAUUAGUUAGUUGGCGGGGUAAUGGCCCACCAAGACUAUGAUCGGUA
rnacentral:rRNA from 1 species